UACGUAGGGUGCGAGCGUUAAUCGGAAUUAUUGGGCGUAAAGCGCGCGCAGGCGGUCUCUUAAGUCUGAUGUGAAAUCCCGUGGCUUAACCACGGGCGGUCAUUGGAAACUGGGGGACCUGAGUGCAGAAGAGAAGAGCGGAAUUCCACGUGUAGCGGUGAAAUGCGUAGAGAUGUGGAGGAACACCAGUGGCGAAGGCGGCUCUUUGGUCUGUAACUGACGCUGAGGCGCGAAAGCGUGGGGAGCGAACAGG
rnacentral:rRNA from 1 species